CCGGGCCAAGAUGGCGGUGCAGGUGGUGCAGGUAGUGCAGGCGGUUCAUCUCAAGUCUGACGCUUUCCUCGUUUGUCUCAACCACGCUCUGAGCACAGAGAAGAAGUGAUGGGGCUGUGCAUAGGGGAGUUGAACGAUGAUCCAAGGAGUGACUCCAAAUUUGCAUAUACUGGAACUGAAAUGCGCACAGUUGCUGAAAAGGUUGAUGCCGUCAGAAUUGUUCACAUUCAUUCUGUCAUCAUCUUACGACGUUCUGGUAAGGGGAAGGACCGAGUAAAGAUUUCUCCAGAGCAGCCGUCUGCAGCUUCAACAGAGCAGAGAGGGUGGCUGAACUGACAGGCCGCCCUAUUAGAGUUGCAGGCUGGUAUCAUUCCCAUCCUCAUAUAACUGUUUGGCCUUCACAUGUUGAUGUUCGCACACAAGUCAUGUGCCAGAUGAUGGAUCAAGGCUUUGUAGGACUUAUUUUUUCCUGUUUCAUAGAAGACAAGAACACAAAGACUGGCUGGGUACUCUACACUUGCUUCCAAUCCACACAGGCCCAAAAGAGUUCAGAGUAUAAGAGAAUCGAAAUCCCAAUCCAUAUUGUACCUCAUGUCACUAUUGGGAAAGUGUGCCUUGAAUCAGCAGUACAGCUGCCCAAGAUCCUAUGCCAGGAGGAGCAGAAUGCGUAUAGGAGGAUCCACAGCCUUACACAUCUGGACUCAGUAACCAAGAUACAUAAUGGCUCAGUGUUUACCAAGAAUCUGUGCAGUCAGAUGUCAGCAGUCAGCAGGCCUCUCCUACAGUGGCUGGAGGACAGACUGGAGCAAAACCAACAGCAUUUGCAGGAAUUGCAACAAGAAAAGGAAGUGCUUAUGCAAGAACUUUCUUCUCUAGAAUAAAGCAGGAGACAAAAUGGGGAAAGAUGAAAAUAUCCAGGGUAAAGUUACUUAAGCUAAAUCAAUUUUGAAGAAGAAAAACUUGGAGGACUCAUAUCACCUGACUUCAAGACUUACUAUAAAGCUAUAGUAAUCAAGAUAGAUGGUAUUGGCAGAGGAACAGACACAUAGAUCAAUGGAACAGAUGAGAGAACCCAGAAAUAAAUCCACAUAAAUAUGCUCAACUGAUUGUGAAAAAGUGCAAAAGCAAUUCAAUGGAGGAAGAAUAGCCUUUCUGACAAAUUAUGCUGGAGCAAUUAGACACCCAUAGCGAGGAGAAAAAAGAACCUCUACUUAAACCUCACAUCUUAUAUAAAAUUUAAUUUACAUAAAAUAUAAAAAUGUAUAAUGGACUUAAAUGUAAUACAUAAAACUAUAUAACUUGGAAAAAAGCCACAGGAGAAAAAUCUUCAGGAUCUUGGGCUAGGUGACAAGUUCUUGGACUUUGCCCUAAAAGCACAUCCAUACAAGACAAAAACUGAUAUCCUGGACUUCUUCAAAAUUUAAAAACUUGUGAUUUAAGAAGAGGAAAAGAUAAGCUACAGAUUGAGAUGAAUUUGCAAACCAUAUAUCUGAUCAAUUUGGAAUAUAUAUCGUAUGCUAAAAACUCAACUGUAGUCAGGCUUGGUAGCUCAUGCUUGUAAUUUCACCACUUUGGGAGGCGUGCUUGAGGUUAAGGGUUCCAGACCAGCCUGG